GACGAACGCUGGCGGCGUGCUUAACACAUGCAAGUCGAACGGUAAGGCCCUUCGGGGUACACGAGUGGCGAACGGGUGAGUAACACGUGGGUGAUCUGCCCUGCACUUCGGGAUAAGCCUGGGAAACUGGGUCUAAUACCGGAUAGGACUCCUGGCUUCAUGGUUGGGGGUGGAAAGCUUUUGCGGUGUGGGUUGGGCCCGCGGCCUAUCAGCUUGUUGGUGGGGUAAUGGCCUACCAAGGCGACGACGGGUAGCCGGCCUGCGAGAGUGACCGGUCACACUGGGACCGAGAUACGGCCCAGACUCCUACGGGGGGCAGCAGUGGGGAAUAUUGCACAAUGGGCGCAAGCCUGAUGCAGCGACGCCGCGUGAGGGAUGACGGCCUUCGGGUUGUAAACCUCUUUCAGCUAUGACGAAGCGCAAGUGACGGUAGUAGCAGAAGAAGGACCGGCCAACUACGUGCCAGCCGCCGCGGUAA
rnacentral:rRNA from 1 species